GAUGAACGCUGGCGGCGUGCUUAACACAUGCAAGUCGAACGAUGAAGCCCAGCUUGCUGGGUGGAUUAGUGGCGAACGAGUGAGUAACACGUGAGUAACAUGCCCUUAACUCUGGGAUAAGCCUGGGAAACUGGGUCUAAUACCGGAUAGGAGCGCCUACCGCAUGGUGGGUGUUGGAAAGAUUUAUCGGUUUUGGAUGGACUCGCGGCCUAUCAGCUUGUUGGUGAGGUAAUGGCUCACCAAGGCGACGACGGGUAGCCGGCCUGAGAGGGGGACCUGCCACACUGGGACUGAGACACGGCCCAGCCUCCUACGGGAGGCAGCAGUGGGGAAUAUUGCACAAUGGGCGAAAGCCUGAUGCAGCGACGCCGCGUGAGGGAUGACGGCCUUCGGGUUGUAAACCUCUUUCAGUAGGGAAGAAGCGAAAGUGACGGUACCUGCAGAAGAAGCACCGGCUAACUACGUG
rnacentral:rRNA from 1 species